rnacentral:lncRNA from 1 species
GUGCCUGAAGGUGCCACCAUUGGAGGGAUAGGAAGGAAAGUGACAGGAAGACGGUGCCGGAAAGCUGGGGAGCUAAGGAAGAAUGCUGGAGGAAGAAGAAAGCUCGCGCGUUGAGGAAGAAGGAUGUGAGCUCGAAAGGGAAAUACGGGAUGUGCUGAUAUUUAAAGGGGGUCUGAGGAGGGGUAAAAAUGGAAUUUUUACCGUGCCGGCGUUUCGAGUUUUUCGGGAGUAGUGGUUGUCGUGGGCGCCCGUUUCGAAAAGACUGCAAUCAUUUGGUUGAAAACCGUGAAACGGAAGGAUAUUUUCAUUGCGGCUGUUUCGGAGGGGAAGUUGAAAAGAAUUUCGAAGUAAAGACUAUGUUUUACUCCGAAACUGGGGGGCAUGUGUUGACGCCAGAUUUCGACACAAAUAAAAUCGGCGUCAGGAGAGGAAGAAAUUAGAAGAUACAGUGAUAGUGCAGGGGCGACAAUUGGAAAUCGGCCGAAUGGCGCUACAGUUAAAGAUCGGUUGGUUGGUGUUACAGUCAAGGAUCGACCGAUUGAUGCUACAGUCGGGGAUCGGUCGAUUGAUCUUUAGAAUUCCGUCUCGCUUGACUCCUAGGGUUUGGGAUCGGACGCGCCCGGUUCCCGAUCGGGUACCCCUUGCCGAUGAAGAAAUCGGCCGAUUAGGAGGUUGGAAUAGUUGGGCCGGUAUGGGCUUAGAAAGGAUUGUAAAGAUGAAGAGUGAAUUAGCCCAGGAAGCGCAUAAUAAUCAACCUAGUACGAGUUGUACUUGUAAAUAUUCGUUUUCUAUUUGAAUUAGGGAUAGAGUUCUAGUCAGAUAAGGAGUCGUCUGUACGGGGCUAUAAAUAGCCACCUUUGUAGAUCUGUAAUCAUCAACAACUCAAUACAACAAACUACUAUUUCCUCGUACUUACUUUAAAGCAGGCGACUUCGCCAAUACUUUUCUUCUUUUUCACGAGUUCGUACGGGUUGGCAGGGCUGCAUCAACUUGACCUCCGGCCAAUCUUGUAAGUUCCGCUUAUCGAGUAAAUUCUAAGCUUUAACUUCGGGCGCAUCGCUGUCGUUUCGUUUAGAUUUAUUCAUCAGUUAUCGAUAUUUACUAGAAUUCUAGGUUUUACCUGUUGUUCUAGUUUUAUCACCAGUUAUCCAGCUAGGAAUCGGCAAUUUCAGCUUUUCUC